GAGAGUGGCGGAAUUGGUAGACGCACUGGAUUUAGGUUCCAGCGCCGCAAGGCGUGGAGGUUCGAGUCCUCUCAUCCGCACCA
rnacentral:tRNA from 1 species